rnacentral:lncRNA from 1 species
GCUGCACAAGGCUGGCAUGCACAGCUUCAGCUCAUCCCUUGUGCUGGAUGAGAAGGAAAUGUGUUCUCAAAGCUGAGUUGCUGAGGAAACAACCAGGCUGAGCACACAGGUGGGACAGGCAGAGCUGCCGAGGGGGCGGUUGCUCCGCAGGACAGACGGACGAUGUGAAGACAUUAGACAGGCAGGUGCAGAAAAGCUGACUAAGACCAUCUGGCAUUCUCUGUAUGGACCUCUGCCCUGGAGCAUCUAAUGCGAUUUGGGAAUCAGGUGCCCAAUGUUAUUCCUAGAGAGAGUCAGAGCCAACCCUGCUGCAACAGAAGAGGUGGGUGAUGUCUGGACUCAUUUGGUUGACCAGGUGGAAGGAGCCAGCCACGGUGUCGGCAGUGCCUGUGGUCCGUGUGCCAGCACAGCACAGCACAGCACCCUGCUGGCCUGGCCAUCGGCCCUCCCUGAGCCUUUCCAGGUGCAGGUGGCACCAGCUCUGAAACACAGCAGGCACGAAGGCAGGGGCACUGUGAGACCACGAAAGCCUGGGUCGUUGAUGAGGCUGUUAGCACUCUUUCAGUCCUUUAACAUCCAAGUCCUUACGAGAAGACACUGGCUUAAUCUCAGCUCAACUGGAAAAAUGCCGAUGACUGGAAAUGUCAUCAGCUGCCUGUGGGCCAGGCUGGCCCUGAGCUGAUAAGGAGCAAUACAAAAUAAAAAUGUCAACACAAAACUGGAGAAACA